rnacentral:rRNA from 1 species
GGUUUCUUAAGUCUGAUGUGAAAGCCCCCGGCUCAACCGGGGAGGGUCAUUGGAAACUGGGGAACUUGAGUGCAGAAGAGGAGAGUGGAAUUCCACGUGUAGCGGUGAAAUGCGUAGAGAUGUGGAGGAACACCAGUGGCGAAGGCGACUCUCUGGUCUGUAACUGACGCUGAGGAGCGAAAGCGUGGGGAGCGAACAGGAUUAGAUACCCUGGUAGUCCACGCCGUAAACGAUGAGUGCUAAGUGUUAGGGGGUUUCCGCCCCUUAGUGCUGCAGCUAACGCAUUAAGCACUCCGCCUGGGGAGUACGGUCGCAAGACUGAAACUCAAAGGAAUUGACGGGGGCCCGCACAAGCGGUGGAGCAUGUGGUUUAAUUCGAAGCAACGCGAAGAACCUUACCAGGUCUUGACAUCCUCUGACAAUCCUAGAGAUAGGACGUCCCCUUCGGGGGCAGAGUGACAGGUGGUGCAUGGUUGUCGUCAGCUCGUGUCGUGAGAUGUUGGGUUAAGUCCCGCAACGAGCGCAACCCUUGAUCUUAGUUGCCAGCAUUCAGUUGGGCACUCUAAGGUGACUGCCGGUGACAAACCGGAGGAAGGUGGGGAUGACGUCAAAUCAUCAUGCCCCUUAUGACCUGGGCUACACACGUGCUACAAUGGACAGAACAAAGGGCAGCGAAACCGCGAGGUUAAGCCAAUCCCACAAAUCUGUUCUCAGUUCGGAUCGCAGUCUGCAACUCGACUGCGUGAAGCUGGAAUCGCUAGUAAUCGCGGAU